rnacentral:rRNA from 1 species
AUUGAACGCUGGCGGCAUGCUUUACACAUGCAAGUCGAACGGUAACAGGCCUUCGGGUGCUGACGAGUGGCGAACGGGUGAGUAAUGCAUCGGAACGUGCCCAGAGGUGGGGGAUAACGCAGCGAAAGCUGUGCUAAUACCGCAUGUGAUCUGAGGAUGAAAGCGGGGGACCAGGCAGCAAUGUUUGGCCUCGCGCCUUUGGAGCGGCCGAUGUCAGAUUAGGUAGUUGGUGGGGUAAAGGCCUACCAAGCCGACGAUCUGUAGCUGGUCUGAGAGGACGACCGGCCACACUGGGACUGAGACACGGCCAAGACUCCUACGGGAGGCAGCAGUGGGGAAUGUUGGACAAUGGGCGCAAGCCUGAUCCAGCAAUGCCGCGUGCGGGAAGAAGGCCUUCGGGUUGUAAACCGCUUUUGUACGGAACGAAAAGGCUCUGGCUAAUACCUGGGGCUGAUGACGGUACCGUAAGAAUAAGCACCGGCUAACUACGUG